CCCCCAUCAUAACUUUUUUUCAAUGCCACAGUUCUUAUUAAUCAAAAUUUGCUUCACCACUUAAUUUCCAAUAAUAUAAUAGUUAAGAAAAAUAUGCUGUAGUUACUUAGUGGUAUAUUAGUAAUUUAAAAUGAUGACAAAAGGACUAUGUGUCCAAAUGGAAACACCUUCAAAAUAGUAAGUGAGAAAAGGAGGGGUGUAAAAUUAUACAAAUACUAUGAUGACAUGCACAUGAGAAAAAGAGACUGGAAGGAAAAGACCAAAUUAUAACAGUUUUUAUAUUAGUAACCUGAAAUUAUGGGUGAGUUCCUCCUUUAUUUUCUAACAAUUUUGUUGUAUGAUUUACGUUAUAAUAGAAUAAUGCAUAUCCCAAUGCUUUCCGUAAUACACAUUAAAACAAAGCACCCAUACAUAAUUUUUAAAAUCAUUUUGAUUUCACAUGUAUGUGAGAGGGUGAGUUUUGUAUGAAAUACAACGCUAAGUGUGUUUAGGAACAUCACAUAAAAUGAAUAAAAACCUUUCAGGAAGAAUAAGAAUCUAAGUCCUUCCAUAAAAAAAUAAAUUUUCUCUACCAGCUAAAAUCGGCUCUUUGCUGAAAAAACACUGUUAGAGCCAGGAGGAAACCUGAGGCUGCUCACUUUUCCAUGCGGAGGCAUUUCUGACAGAUGGAGCCUUCCUCUCCUUGCGUCUUUCAAGCCCGCAGGAAUUCUGCCCAGGGAAUCGGGGCCAGAGCUGCCGCUCCGACUCCUCAGCCGGCGCCCGCGCCCCCGGGGGCAUCUCUGCGCAGGACCGGCCUCGCGCGGCAGCAGCGCCCCAGCUGGCACCGAGGUCUCUGCAGGCUCUCACUUCUGCUAGUCUUGUCUCGUCCUCCCCUGCCCUCCUCUCCUCUCUUCUGUUUCCCUCCUCCUCCCCUCUCCUUCUCCUCUCCUUUCCUCCUCCUGCCCCCUCCUCUUUUCCUCUCCUUCCCUCCCCUCCCCUCCCCCCUUCUCUUCCCCUCCCUUCGUCUCCCCUCUCUUCCCUGCUCUCCUCUUCUCUCCUCUCUUCCCUCUCCUUUCCUGACGUCUGUAGGCCAAUUCAUAGACCUUACUGGAAACUGGCAAAAAAAUGUCUCUGGCCAUAGCAAUGGCCAACCAGUCUCAGAGGGACUUCAGGCAACUCUCAGCGGCCUGGUUCUGGAUCAGACGCCGAGCUGGCCUUUUUCAGAAAUGCUCUCUCAAACAAUUCUGUGAACUAGACACCAUCAUCAUGGGGGUCAAACUCCCAUUCGAUUCCCAGGCUACCCUACUGUUACCUCUUUUGGCCCAACUGACAGCCAUCUGGCCCCAGAAGCCAGCUGCCUAUCUUGAAGCUGAUCACAGAAACAUGAGUGAGCCUAGUCAAGACCAGAAGAACCGCCUGGAUGAGCCCAAGUGCUGACUCACAGAGUCAUGAGCUAAGUAAAUGGUUGUGGUUCUAAGCCACUAAUUUCUGGAGCUGUUUGCUAUUCAGUGAAAGCUGAUACUUACUGCUGCAAAUAUUUGAACCCAAAUUUCCUUGUCUUUUUUCCUCCCUCAAAUAUAAAAAAAAAAAAGGAGGCUUUUCAAUAUGACAUUUCUUCCCAGUAAACUAUCAUGUCUUCUCAACAAUAGGGAAGAAGUACCCUUCUGUGUUCACCUUACAGCCAUCAGAUUAAUGGUAUUUUUAUUUUAUUGUGCUGAAGCAAACACCUGAACAUCACUGUCGUUCUCCUUUCUUCAUAAAUGAGUUUUCUUACUUUUUCAUGCCCUGGCAGGCUUUGCUGUGAGCACACAAAUCCACAGCGAGCUGCCAGUGCUUGAGGCACCCGGGCUGGGGGGCCUCCAAAUACGUCCUCGCCCACCAUCGCGCCCUGUCAAAGCUGGCUAUCUCCAGCAGUCCAUUUUCACAGCUGUGGCCUUCUGAAGUGGGCUCCCCUCAAUGCAGGAAAAUAGCAGAUUGCUUUUAUGUUCAAGCAUCAAAGUUUAUUUUUGAAAUAUGUUUGCCUUCUCAUGAACUUCUUGAGGUUUUUGUGGGUAGGUGCAGAUAUAAGCUAAUUAAAUAAUUUAUUUUCAGGUGCCCCACCUCAUCAUGCCAAGAUCUGAAGGCAGCUGCAGAGGUCUCGUUCUCCAAGUGGACGGACUAGGAACCCUCCAUAGGACGCAGAUUUGAUGGUGCUGUGAAGCCCUCUCUCAAGCAUCUGCUCGUGCUCGUCACGAGGCCCGGAUUCCCUCCAGCAGCUUCUUCUUUCUUCUGACCUUGAAGGUUUUGUGACGUUUAAGAGUUCCUCAGCAGAGCUCAGUCUUCCUCCCAUCCUCACGUGGUGCAUCGUGGGAGCUGGCUGAUCCGAGUUAGGAGAAAGACCCUCUGCCACUCCCACGGUGGGACAGGUCCUGGGAGGGGCAGGCGGUGCCUGUUCACGUCUUGCAUCCUGUAUUUGGGGUGCUCUCAUUUUAAACGUUAGAACUAGUCUUUGGAAGCGUCUGCCAAUUCAUAGCCACCUCCUCCAGGUCCCUCUCACACUCAGCAGAUGGCAGUUUUCUUUUGUUCUUUGAGAGGCUAGUGUUCCCUCCUUAUUACUUUGGCAGCAGCUUUAUUUCACUGUUGAGGGGGUGUUCAAAUCACGGAAUUUCAUAAGAAUUCUUGGAGGUCCUCUCUUCUGUCUUCCCUCCUGCUUGAUUUCAUAAACCAGGAAGGGAGGAUCCAAGAGAAGAAGUGACUUCCCUGGGCUCUGAGCCUCCCCACCGAGGGCCUUAUUCCUCUCCUCAAAUACCACCCCUCCACCCCCCAUACUUAAGAACCCUGGGAUUGGAGGAGUUUAGUUUAAGAUUUAGAGGGGAAGAAAAGAAAGAGAGAAGGGAGAAAGAAGGAGAGAGAGGGAGGGAAGAAGUGAAAAAAAGGAAAGAAGAAGGAAGACACACAUUUCAAUGGGGAAAAAGCGUUAGAGCAAAGAUGUUUGCCAGAUCUUCAGACCCUCAGAUGUGCCGGAGGCCGCUGCUCUGGGUGAUCACGACCCCUCUCGCGGCGGGAUUUGUACUCUAGCAGCAGAACUGUCAGGUUACGACAAAUAGGGGUAAUAAGCUCCAUUUUCUUCCCCUUAUUUUAGGAAUAGAAAUCUUGAGCGUCAGGGUGGAAAAUUACAGAAGGGCAUCAGUGAUUCUCCCCACUAAUACCUACAAGCCACCACAAGCUUCUCCGUCCUUUGUUUAAGGAUCACAUUGCUUUCUUUUAAGGCAGUAAGACCUUAGGGUCCCUUGUUGGGUCCUGUGGCAGCCUGGAAACCUCUGCGGCAGGGAAGGAAGGAAAUCUAAAAGGAGGAGACUCCACAGGAUGUAAAGAAGUCGUCUUAGUUUAGGUCUCCUGAAAGCAGAGCCUGAGCACCUACUUUCUAAUCUCCAGACUCUCUGAGCAAAGCUGGACGGCUGUAGAAAGACAGAUGGCUCCAAGGAUACUUUGUUGGGUGUGAACCAAGCAAUCCUGUGGCACGAGGGCCAGGCUGAGGCCUGGUGCCCACUGAACCUGCUGUAGUGGAAGCCUCUGCAGCUCCAGCGUGCCCGUCUGCCUUGCCCAGACGCCCGGAGGAGAUGGUCUCCAGUAGCUCCUGGAAGGGCCCAGCCCACAGCCCAGCAGUGCAACGGAGAUAAGCCCUCCCUGGGCAGUCUGCAGCUGAGGAAAAGCCCACCAACAAAAUGUUCGCCCUUCUUGUUCCCAGUGGACACAGAGGCUGCAGCGUGCAUGUCUGCAUGUCUGCAUCCCAUGCAGCAGAGUGAGCACCGUGUUUCCUUGAGCAGCUCUGACCCUUCGCGCAAGAGACGGGAAAAUACAGGUGAUGGAAGCACGGACUCAGGACUUAGACUGGGUUGAAAUUGCAAGGCUGCUGCUCUCUGACUGACUGCCUUCAGGCUGGUUAUUUAACAUCGCCAUGCCUCGGUUUCCUCAUCUGCUCCUUGGCUUUUGUAAGCUUUGGGCAAGAUCCUCUCUAGGUCUCAUGGCUAUAAAGAUGCUAAUAAUAUCGACUCCACCCGGUUGUUGAGAACAUUCUAUGAAAUGCUGUGUGCAAAGUGCUUGCUGGCUGGCUAACAGUAAGAGCUCAAUAAAUGGUAGCUAUUUUUUAUUAUUUUUUUAUGCCUAAGAACAUGGGAAAUAGCUGCUCAGGCUCCACGAAAUCUAUAUAUGUUUUAAAACAGGACUCGGAGCCUUUGAACAAAAAGUCUCACCCCUUCUUCCUCCUCUCACUGUGUCCAGGGGCCUGUGCGCUCCCUAACAUGCGCCUCACACAUGAGUAAAGCCCGGAUGACCGUGCUGCGCCUCGGAGCUGCCUGGACCCCUGGGAUUUUGCCAGAUAUGCUAAAUGGUAAAUGCUUUGAAAUAUAGUAAUGCUGUGCCAUUCCCAGUGUGUCUCUGUUCAUUUCUCUGCAGACAGUGUCUAAGUAAUCAAGCAUAGCAUAUGCUUCACUAGCACUUGCAGUUACAUCAGGGAGCACCCAGAUCAUUUAACAUCUCAUUUACUUUAUAGUCUAAUAAGAAGCUCUUGAAAUGCCCAGCUCCGCUUCAGAUAUCAGAAAAGAGAACAGUGGAUGUGAUCUCACUGUAUAUUUUACUGAGCUUCUCUUGGGAAAAGUCUUUGCUUGGGGAAUCAUCAGAAUUUCCCCUCUCCAAGUUACUUUCACCGAGUUGCAAUUAUGUUACAUUUCUUGACAAAUUCUGGGUUUUUUGGUAAAAUUGUAGUUAAGGAGAUUCUCGUGUUACUCAGUGAUGCCUGCGUGAAGUUCCAGAUUUACAUUUUUCUUUCAGGAUUGAGGCCAGUGGAGACUCAGUCCCCGCUGGCUAGGACACGAUUUCGCAAUUUUCUGUGUCCUCUUUGUUUUCACUGCUGGAAGCUCAGAGCCAAAUUUGAUUCAAUCACAUUAUGGAGCCAUUAUCCUAACCUUUGGCCUUGAUUAUCUUUUACUCUUUUAUUAACUUUUUUAUAUAUGUCAUUGUUUUGAUCUUCCUCAUUUAUUCCAAAAGGCAGAGUGUACGUAUUAAAAUAAAUUACCCAAAGGACUUCCUUCGAAUGGGUUGGGGUCCUCAGUCCCCCACGGCAUUGUGCGCUGGGAUGGAAUUAGACGCUGGGGUUCUUGCCCUGUCAUCAGUGAGCCUUUCUUAGGACCGAAACUCACCAUGUACAGGGCUCAACUCUCUACCGCGUCAAGUCUCAUUUUGCAAGCUGGAACCACUUAGGAAUCAACUUUCUCAUUUUGGGCAAGUCCCCAGGAAAUAAAACAUUAACAUUAAAAUGUUUUAUUUUAAAUUGCUAUGUUACAAACAGCCCAUAACAAGUAGAGCAAAAAAAAGGUCCAAAGUAAUAAGCUAGUUAUUGUGCCAUCUCUUCCUUGAUUCCUAAUUAUCUCAUCAAAUUGCUAGAUCCUUAGAAACCUUCACUAUAGCUGCCCGCACAUGAAGCAUCAUUCAGGGAAGUAAACAUUUUAAGUUUUUACAGAAAAGAGAAAAUGUCGAUUAGAACAAUGCAUCCCUAGUUCAAGGCCAAUGUGAACCAGAAUUUUGAAACUCCUAUCACCUCAAGCGUACUAAACAAAUAAAGAGUCCUAACUUGGAAUUGUGGAUGCCUCUAGGGGGCACAGGUUUCAGUCGCUAUUCUGAAGCUGAAUUAGCCCUCACCUUGAUAGUCUCUCUCCUCCCUCUUUGGGUAUGUGUUCCCUGGGGCCUGGAGGCCCAUUGAUGGUCACCAAACACGUGGGCUUUCUGUUUGUGUGUUCCUCUCCACUUGGGCAGGAGAAACACAGCUGCAUUGAGCAAUUUUGUGUGAAAGAUUUCCUAACGACACCCACAGCUCUUCAUCUGCUCUUCAGCAGGGAGCUGGAGCCUGGAAGCAGCAGGCUGCCAGCCCGUUAAGGACUGAGCGCUCCUAUUCGGAUCCUUAUCUCUUUGGCGGCACAGACAUGCUUAUUAGCCAUCAUUAUUGUCUUCAGGGACAUUUUACUCUAUCCGUUUCCUAGGUGGCUUUGAGGAGCCUUCUGUAUUAAUCAGGGGCAGGCUAACUAUUAUAACAAACAUCUCCCAAAUCUCAGGGUGGAAUACAAAUGCUUAUUUCAAUGGAAUACAAAUGCUUAUUUCUCACUCAAGUCACAGGUCAAUGUGGAAUGGGAUCUGGGGGAUAGGAGGGGCCUGGGGGUGUUUCCCAGACCCUUCCGUCUUCCACCCAGUUCUAGGUCCUUGGUGUCCUCUCCAUUUGGUUAGAGACUGGGGACCCAGACAGAGCAUGGAUUAUUAUGUGGGAAGCUUUUCUGGCUCAGGCCUGUAGGUGGCACCCUUCAUUCUGCCCAAGUUCUUGGCCACGCGGACACAUCCAUGUGCAGGCAGGGCUGAGGUAGGUAGUCAGGCUGAGCGCCCCGAAGGGAAGGGAGCUGUGGCUUGGAGAGCAAACAACAGUCUCCUCUUCACAUUCUGUUGCCCCAAAUUUUCUAUCUUUUCUUAUAUUAGCAAUUUUUGGCAAAUAGGCUAUUUGUAAGGAAUUCACCCCAGUAAGGAGCCAUGUGUUCAGUGUGGCUUUUUUAUUCUAUCUCCCAAAGUCUCUCCUUUCACCAUCAAUACCUACCAUCACUUGUGAUUCACUUAGGGUUUUGUUUGCUUGUUUCUCUCAACUCAGUCCAUAACCAAGUUCAAAGUGUCUCCAUCAGAGGAGCGGCUCCCAUGCCUCUAGGGGUCAGGGAGAUAAAAGGACAGACUGUAAUGGGAUGAACAUAAGAGAAAGUGAAUUGUUGAGGCUGCUAAAAGCAGAGUGUGCACGUGGGCGGAAAGGAGGCGGCUGCCGUGCGGCCCCUGCCCAUUGCCGCCAAGAAUGAAGGUGGCCGGGGCGGCAAGAGCUUCUGCUUAUGUAAGACGCAGAAACUCAGAUUUUUAAGUAAAAUGUCCUCGUUUGUAAAUGUUGGCCACUAACUAAACUGUCUUUAAACCUCUGAGCAGGCCGUUCAAAACACAUCUGAGGGCUAGACACAGCUGGUAGGCUGUCAUUUGCAAUUUCUAUUUUAACUUUUCUGCCCUGGAGCAAAGACAAGCUCUCAGAAGAAAUCAGAGCAGGAAGCCCAGCCUCUACACACAGGCCUGGUCCUGAGGGUUCAGGGGCUCUCACCUCUGCGAGGGUAGCUAACACUCAGAAUUCUGCAUGUCGAGCACCCCGUUAUUUCUUCACAAAUGUUACAAAUACAGGAUGUAUGUGAAAAAGUCAAAGUUCUUUUUCACGGAUAAAAACGAAAGGGAUGGUGAAUCAGACUGAUGCUACUUAGUCAGAAACUGAUAUUUGUGUGUGUGUAUGUGUGUGUCUGUGUGUGUGUGUGUCUCUGUGUGUCUGUGUGUGUUCACAUGGUCAAUGGAGCUUGUCUAUACUUAAAGUGGUAUAUACUUUAAGCUAAAUUAGCAAGAAUGCCUGGUGGAAAUACAUAAUUUUAUAGUGUUUUGUUUUUAGAAUCUUGUCAAGGGGUGAAGAAUGGAAGGGAAGGGGAUGGAAAAAGUAAGGAGCACAAGAAACAAUACAAUGGAAAAUAUUACCUUAGGAAACCGCUUAGUGGAACACAAAAAGACGGACAGGAAUAGAAAUGAAAACGGGAGCGGUGGGCCCACCGGGAGAUUUUCGAGCAAUGGUUGGGAUGGGCUUGCAGUGGAGGGAGUUCCUACUUCUCUAAGCAACAAAAGCAAAUCCCAACAUCCUUCUUUAGGGAUAAAAUGAGCCAGGAAUGCCUCACAGGAGGUGGGAGCAGAUGACUUUAAUGAUCCUUGGCACACUGAGACUCUGGGACCACCGGGAUAGAAUUUGCAAAGAGCGAAAAGGUUAAGAUGUGGCAUAAAGUAAGUCCCAAAUUAAAAGAACAUGGAAAAACAUUCAAAUAAAUACAGAGACCCUUAAGAGGAAGGAUGUGAAUUAACACAGGGAUAGCAGAUAAGAAUUCAUAGGAACUUGAGGUUAAGGACACCAAAUAUUAUAAAGUUAUAGAAGAAACAGAAAAAAAGUGAGUGGGUGUGUGUCUGGAAGGAGGAGAUUGCUUCUAGAAGCCCAUGCUAUACAUAACCAGACUUCACUGGAGGUCUGACCUUUGUGCACUUGCCAGUCAUAUCUUUUCUUGCUCAGUAGCCACGUCUGUUAUCCUUGUAUAUUGUCCCUAGCUCGGGUUUCCAGCCUAAGAUCCACAAUGUACAUUCAUAGCAGAUGCAGUCUUACUUAGUGAGUUUGGUGGAAGUAUUUUGUUUUUAUUCACUCACCAACACUUCUUUCAAGCAUCACUUCUCACAAACAGAAAUUUUGCACGUGUCUGAUGUACCGUGGGGAGGUUUCAUUCUGUAAACGUCUUCCCUACAAUAAAGCUUCAAUUUGAGGCGGCUUUCCUUUUCUGAGACACUGGUCUGCUUUUAACACUAGAACAAUAAAACUUUGUAUUUUGUAACUAGCCACUUUACAGAGUAAAUCUUUGCAAUAGUGUUUUCAAUUUCUUGAAGUUUUUCUUAUCUAUACUUAAUUUUUAAAAGUAUAUCAUGAAACUUAGCAUAGGCCUGGCCCAUGGUGACAUGAAGCAUCAGUAAUUGAAAUGUAAGUCAUCAGCUGUGAUUUGUUUCAUACAUCUCAUUUUAACCAACUAGGUUUUCUUUUCUGCAAAUAGAGAGCUAAAUAUUUUAAAUCCCUAUAUAUUUGUGGAGACUUUGGAAAUUGCUUAAGUUUCAUUGGCUAAUGAUACAAAUUUCUGGUAAAUAUAUAAGAACUUUAUAAUGGCAGGAUAUUCAUUCUAAAAGCUUCUGUGAAUAAAAGGAAUUUCCAUGAUGAAUUUGAGGCUCAAUCCCACUGAUAUUUUUUUUUCUUUCUUUCCAGAAGUUCUAUUACCUUUAUUUUUUCAAGGCACUGAAGGGAGUAAAAACAAAUCAAAGAUAAACUAAAACUUAGGGUAAAUCUACAUUCCUUUAGUUACAUGCCAAAUUUGAUUAAGGCAAGUGAACUCUUCUGAAAGGAAUAGACAAGUAAAAAAUGCCAAAGAAAGGGAGAAUUCACUUACUUUCACCCGGCUAAUUCUGUCCACACAGUAACAGUGCUCGUAGUGCCGUGGGCGGAUCUCCACCUAUGGUUCUGAUUGUUCUACUUGGACUCUCCUGAAAUACCCAAGGUCCCCACACAAAUUUGGGUUCCUUUUUAGUUGCCAUUUGGGAUUAAGAAGCCAAAGGAGAAAAUGAGGAAGUGCAUAAUCCCCCAAACCAAGCCACCACCGUCAACCCCACUAAAGAACAACAGAUCCGAACCAAAGAGGGGAACAGAGGCGUCUAAGGGACAAAGAGGAGCUACAAAAGGCCCGGGGAAAGCCACCACGCUGCCCGGCUCCCUGGGCUCUGUGCAGCCUAUGGCUGCUUGAGUUCAUCUCUGUUCCAGCUCAGGUUUCCAGCCCACACAGGAAACACCAACGCAGCUAGAAUGACAAAGGAAUCCUGGCCACUGAUGCUAGAGUGAAACAAGUUCAGUGUGUUGCCUUUGCAGCAGUAAAAAACAUACAGCCGCGGAAUUCCCACUUUAUAGGAAAUUCCUCCUCUAUAAGAAUUCUCCCUAAAAAUGAACACUAGAAAAGAAAAUAUAGAAGUACUUGCCAAGAAUGGGAAGGCCUGAGAUUGUAUCAUUUUCCUUCACUAAGGUAUUAGAUUCAAGAAUGUCUGAACUGCGUU